rnacentral:rRNA from 1 species
AGAGUUUGAUCAUGGCUCAGGACGAACGCUGGCGGCGGGCUUAACACAUGCAAGUCGAACGAGAAUCCCGGAGCUUGCUCUGGGAGGACAGUGGCGCACGGGUGCGUAACGCGUAGGCAACCUGCCCUUGAAUGGGGGACAACUACCGGAAACGGUAGCUAAUACCACAUAUUGUCUUUGAACCGCAUGGUUUAAAGAUGAAAGUCUUCGGACGUUCAAGGAUGGGCCUGCGUUGGAUUAGGUAGUUGGUGAGGUAACGGCUCACCAAGCCUCCGAUCCAUAGCUGGUCUGAGAGGAUGAUCAGCCACACUGGCACUGAGACACGGUCCAGACUCCUACGGGAGGCAGCAGUGGGGAAUAUUGCGCAAUGGGCGGAAGCCUGACGCAGCCAUGCCGCGUGUGUGAAGAAGGCCUUAGGGUUGUAAAGCACUUUCAAUAGGGAGAAAAGGCUCAUCGUUAAUAGCGGUGAGAGUUGAUGUUACCUAUAGAAGAAGCACCGGCUAACUCCGUGCCAGCAGCCGCGGUAAUACGGAGGGUGCGAGCGUUAAUCGGAAUUACUGGGCGUAAAGCGCGCGUAGGCGGUUUGUUAAGUCAGCUGUGAAAGCCCCGGGCUCAACCUGGGAAUUGCAGUUGAUACUGGCAGGCUGGAGUACGAGAGAGGGAGGUAGAAUUCCAUGUGUAGCGGUGAAAUGCGUAGAUAUAUGGAGGAAUACCAGUGGCGAAGGC